CCUACGGGAGGCAGCAGUGGGGAAUAUUGGGCAAUGGGCGCAAGCCUGACCCAGCAACGCCGCGUGAAGGAAGAAGGCUUUCGGGUUUUAAACUUCUUUUCUCAGGGACGAAGCAAGUGACGGUACCUGAGGAAUAAGCCACGGCUAACUACGUGCCAGCAGCCGCUGUAAUCCGUAGGUGGCAAGCGUUAUCCGGAUUUACUGGUUGUAAAGGGCGUGUAGGCGGGGACGUAAGUCAGAUGUGAAACCCACGGGCUCAACCUGUGGCCUGCAUUGGAAACUGUGUUUCUUGAGUACUGGGGAGGCAGACGGAAUUCGUGGUGUAGCGGUGAAAUGCGUAGAUAUUAGGAGGAACACCAGUGGCGAAGGCGGUCUGCUGGACCGCAACUGACGCUGAGGCGCGAAGGCGUGGGGAGCAAACAGGAUUAGAUACCCGGGUAGUC
rnacentral:rRNA from 1 species